UUUUUCUCCCUCCCGAUAGUUUCAGAAACCCAUUCGGGCAGCCCCAUUCCAAGCCACCCCCAACGCCGCCUCAAGCCACCCCGACCCUCCGAAACGGACCCAGCAGCACCGGCCAGCUCCCGCCAUCAACCUCAGCCGUCCGCCGCCCCUGCUGCUGUCUGGAGCCGCUGGAAAACGCAGCAGUUUUGGCCGAUUUUUCAACUUCAGUUUCUCCCUCAUCCGGUCACCAAAUCAGUCGUGUGAGGUAUCGAUUUCUAGCUAUUUUUCGUGCUCUAACUGAUGGUUGGCUGGGUUUAGAUCGAUUUCACCCCUAGGUUGCUCAAUUUUUGAUUUGAAAUCGCCCGAACUUCGACCGCCGGAAUCGGCCAUUUCCGGCCAGUUUUUGGGGGUUGUCCAAGAACAAAAGUGACCCCAAAUGGGGUGUUUUACCUAGGGUAGGAGUUUGGAGUCUCGGUUCCAAGAUUUUUUUUCGGCACACCCGAUCGCUUUGGACACCCGAUCGGUCCGCGCGUGUGGAGGCGCGUGGGCCAGGGUGGAGGCACGGCUCUGGCCAGUUUUGAGACCCUCGUGCCAUCACGAGCGCGCAGGAUUUCGCGGAUCUCAAUUCGGAGUCCGUUUGAGCCCCGAACGGAUUUUCCAUAAUAUGCGAUUCCCGGUUGCAGCGUCGUCUAGCCGUUGGAUCGCACCCCAUUUCGGAUAUGUUGUUCUACAUUGUUUCAGGAUAGCGUAGGAUUCGACGGAUUGCAAAUCGGAGUCCCGGAUACUCCGGAAUCGCGAACCCUGGGGCUAGGGUUAGGGUUUUAAGCGAUAGCGCGAUUUUGGCCAAUCCGACCGUCCAUUUCGGACCAAACUCGCAGGACAUGGGUUUUACACAGUGAGGAACCUCUAGAGAAUCCCAGAUCGGCCAUCGGAGAUCGUGGACCCCACGGGGUUCCGGAUCAACCGGUCUAACAGUUUAUUGCUUUGUAAGGUUUCCGGUCUUUUAAGGCCAUUCUGGACAUAGAGGUGACUUUACAAUGAGAGCACGUAUUUCUAGGAGCCGGGGGUCAGGGUAUUUAAUUUAAUGUUUUUAUUGAGCAGUUUAGUAAUUGAAUAUUCAUGGUUAAACAGGCAUCAGAGGCCAAACUGAACCACAGGAGGGACCUUCAAGAGGUCCAGCUAGCUCGGACCAGCAGUGAGUGGACCUUUCUUUUUUUUAAAUGAUUUUCUGAAUCAGUCUUAUUCAGUGUGAUUUAUUCCUAUGAAUUUAAAGAUUCCUUCUAUACAUUGCUUAGCUGAUUUUGCUAAAGUUAUGUGGACAGCAGACUUUGAGAUUUAUGAUACAGAAAUAUCUAGCUCAGAUUUUAUCAGAAUACAGAGGAUAUCAAAUUUUAUCCAAGAUAAUUAUUUUAGACCACCAUGAAUUAUAGAAAGCAGAGUUUGAGUUUUCUAUCAGAUAAAAAGGGCAGCACAGUUAUAGAUUGAAUAAAGAUUCAGUUAUUCAUUAGAUCUUUCAGAAAUAUUAUGAUAUUUAUAUUUGAUAUUUUCUCAGCAGUUUAUAUUUUCUUAAACCACUGUGGGUACCCGGUUACAGAAACAGGUUGCCGUCAAAUAAGACGAUGUCUACGGACAUCCAGAUUGCCUUCGGUUUAUGUUGCCUUCGGAUAUGAUGAUGUCUACAGACAUCCAGUUUACUUUCAGUUACGUCAGUGCACUUGACAUUUGCCUCACGAGUUUUGGGGACGCCCGGACCGUGAGUGCCAGGAAUUGCGGAUCAGGCUGACUACGGUCUCCUGAAUCCUGCCAGGAAUUGCGGAUCAGGCUGACUACGGUCUCCUGAAUCCUGCCAGUUUGCGGCUCGGAUACACUAUGUGUCGCCGAGACCUGCCAGGGGAAUUGACGAAUUUACAGAGGAAUUGACGGAAAUUAAAAGGGUACACACCCAGUUGGUAACUUUAGAGGAAUGUCAGUGCAAUUAUGCAAAUAUUGAUUUCAGUGAUUUUACUUGAGUUUCUUAAUAUCGAGCAGUAACGGUAUAUAUACGUUUACCUAAAUGCUUUGGACUUAUCAUAAUUCAAGUGCAGUUUAAAUAUUCAGUCGUAUGAUUAUCAUUAUUUUUACAGUGGGGGUUAUUAUGUUCAUAUACUGUUUUCUAGAACUUUAUUUUGGUCCACUCACACUUUGAAAUGUUUUGCGCCCCCCCAGGCAGUCGAGUGUGCAGGAAUCCACCACCAGGCCAUCUCCUAGCUCCCACGCUAUUUCCAAGCUGUAGGAUUUCUUGUAACCUACUUAAAUUCUUGUAAACAAUUAGUAACUGCUCUGAUAUCUGGUUGGAUUAGAUAACCAGAACUGGUGAAUAUUUAGUUACCCUAUUCUGGCAGUUGGUGUGGAUUUAUCAGUUUGUUUGACAGGUGGAAAAUUUGGGUUUAGUCAAAUUACAGGGGAGUCUCUGCCGAAAUUAAAGCAGGAGUCCAGAGAAAGUUUUAACCAUAUUUAUCUCCAGGAAGGGUAAAGAGGUCAUUGUGCCCGACAAUUGCCAGGUGUCGGACACGCACAGGGCUUGGCUCGAAUUACCUAGUGACAGUUUGGUAAUUUGUGUUAGGGAAGUUGAGCUUUCACAUUUGGGAAAUGUUCUCAAAAUAUAGCGUGUUCCCAAAGUUUUGGAAAAUUUAAUACUAAUUUUUGGCUAUGGAAUUAUAGUAAAAAUAAUUUCUAAUUAAAAUAUUCUAUCACCUCAAAAAAAUAAAAAAAUAAAAAAAUUUAGUCCCAGUCCAAACAUAGAUCAAACAAAGGAUAGUACCAUUUUCGUUAUCCAGCUUCUUAGUUCGACAUUACACCAAACGCAGGACAAGUCUUAUCCAGCUUAUGCCAGGCCCUGCAAAUCCAAAAC
rnacentral:lncRNA from 1 species